UCAAGACAGAAACCACCAGAGGAGCUGCUGUUGCCUCCUCCACUGCUAGCUUGUGUUCCAUGGGGCAGUUGUCAUCUCCAGUUGCCCCCUGUGAUGGGUUCUGUGUGGUUCCAUGGCCUCACACACCCUGCUCUCACUCCGCUGCCACCACCUCAUGAGAUACUGCAAUUAGAACUGUCCUUAGCAGAACAUAGAUCAAAUAACAGAAAUUACUUUCUCUGUAUUGCCCAAUUUUGUGUAACUCUUGCUUGGCACAAGAUUUGUUAAAGGAAUUCUUACUACUUUUGGGGAUCCCAAGAUUCAGUGUCAGGAGGCUUAUUCAGAAGGUUGGUGCCUGACGAUGUGUCCUGGAUCAUGCUGAAUGACCUCCCUACUGAAAAAGGGGAAGCCACCCACAUUGUGUGACAAAGAAUAGGAAAGCUUAUCAGGGAUUCCAACAAGAAUUCCCUCUCUGACCUUACCUCAAGACAGAAGAACCAUCCAGAUCAAUCAAAACAAAGAUUCAUGAAUUUGAUGCCUGACAGAAUGCUUUAGAGUAAAAGGCAGUGAGCUAAGUGAAGCUGCAGGAGAUGACCUUCUCACUGAAGCAAAGGAAAUAAUCUAGCAAACUCACAUAUUACUCUCCAGUCUUGAUUUUGAGAUCACCUCAGGGUUUUAUGCCCUGCCAUCCUACUUUUCAGGACUGAUUACCUUUUCCUCUUACUAGAAUUUAUGCCUACCUACAUUUACAAAUAAAUAAAAAACUUCUUACAC